CCCCUCUCAGAGUCACACCUGGAGAGUUUCCAGGACUCUACCAGUGUCAACUAUGGGAGGGAGAGUCAAGCAGAGGCAUAUCCAUUCCAUUCCUAGCUUGGAGCAGUGGCUAGCAAGGGGAAGACAAUCUGCUACAAGU
rfam:Ornithorhynchus anatinus chromosome X5, whole genome shotgun sequence.